UGCUUGUUUCAGCAGCAAUAUACUAAAAUUUGAAUAAUACAGAGAAGAUUAGCAUGGCCUCUACACAAGGAUGAUACACAAAGUCAUGAAGCAUUUCAUAUUUUU